UCUGACAGUUAUUCUAGUUUUUUUAUUAUGUAGUGGCUAUAUGCUAAUCUAAAUUACACUUUGCAGCCAGAGUUUAAUGGUUAUGAAAAUCUUGAAUUUCCAGAAUUCUAUAAGAAAACUCAUACCAAGAAGAACAAAGAGUGGAUUGAUCCUAUUUGCGCCGUGAAACAUUCAAAGAUGUUGAGCUUGCGAGAAGAAUCUUCCCAAUCCGGUGUGCAAUUAACAUCAGAGGAGAUGUCUAGGCAAGCACUUGAAAAAAGGAAAAGAUACAUUCUUGGAUUUGGGGAUGGGCCGAAGCCCUCUUCAUCUUCUUCCACACCUAGUCGUGUGUCACAAGACCACGUUGGGGAGUUGCAGAAACUUAAAGCUAAGAUGGAGGAGAUGAAGAUGGAGCGUGAGGAGCUGCGGAGGCAAUUGGAGCAGGGGAGGAGAGAGCGUGAGGAGGAAAAGAAAAAGCGAGAGGAAGAAUAGAAGCAAAUUGCACAUCUUACAAGUUUAGUGACAGAGUUCUUAAAGGGAAAGACUCAAACGCACAAGUCAUCUAUCCAUCAUGAUGGGGCCAUGUAUUCAACUGAUGGUACAAAUACUCGUUGAUACAUGGUGGAGUUAUGAGCAUGUGAAAUCUAGUUUCUAGUACAUGGAUAGCUUUUGUUCAGAUGAUCAUGGUGGAGUUGUCUACAAGCAGAAUCCAGUUUUUGGUAUAAGAAUAUUUUUGUCUACAUGAUGGCUGUUUGGAUGAAUAGCAAGAUCAGAUAUUUUGGAAUUUUUAAUUUACAUUUUGAUGUGUUUGGUGAUGAUUAUUACCUUAACAUAUGGUAUGGAUGAAAUAUUUUGAUGUAUGGUUAAUAGGUAUGCUUGACUUUAGACUUAUAGAUGAUGAUAUUUAUAAUGAAUGAUUAUGGAUUCUCCAA